AGGAUAAGAGUUUGACAAAAUAUAUAAAUUGCAAUUAUAAGAUGAACGCUUCAGCUAGUUCUUAUCUCA
rnacentral:tRNA from 1 species